rnacentral:piRNA from 1 species
UUUGAUGAUGUGCCAUUGUACUGGGAU